rnacentral:rRNA from 1 species
CUUUGCUGGCGACCGGCGCACGGGUGAGUAACACGUAUCCAACCUGCCCUUUACUCGGGGAUAGCCUUUCGAAAGAAAGAUUAAUACCCGAUAGUAUAAUGAUUCCGCAUGGUUUCAUUAUUAAAGGAUUCCGGUAAAGGAUGGGGAUGCGUUCCAUUAGGUUGUUGGUGAGGUAACGGCUCACCAAGCCUUCGAUGGAUAGGGGUUCUGAGAGGAAGGUCCCCCACAUUGGAACUGAGACACGGUCCAAACUCCUACGGGAGGCAGCAUG